GGAAGGGUGCGUGAGCGGUUGAAACGGACGCUCUCGAAAAGCGUUAGGCGGGAAACCGCCUCGUGGGUUCGAAUCCCACCCCUUCCGCCA
rnacentral:tRNA from 1 species